rnacentral:rRNA from 1 species
GACGUAGGGCGCAAGCGUUGUCCGGAAUCAUUGGGCGUAAAGGGCUCGUAGGCGGUUUGUCGCGUCGGGAGUGAAAACCAUGGGCCUUAACUCAUGGCUUGCUUCCGAUACGGGCAGACUAGAGGCAUGCAGGGGAGAACGGAAUUCCUGGUGUAGCGGUGAAAUGCGCAGAUAUCAGGAGGAACACCGGUGGCGAAGGCGGGUCUCUGGGCCGUAACUGACGCUGAGGAGCGAAAGCAUGGGGAGCGAACAGG